GCCACUCAGUUCAGCUCUGGACAGAGGAGACUGGCGAUUUGGAUCCGCCAUGUUGUUCCUGCCGUCGAUGCAGCUUCCCCGGCUGCUUCUUGGGCGGAGGAGGGAGCUCAGCUGCUUCUUGGGCGGAGGAGGGAGGUCGGCUGCUUCUUGGGCAGAGGAGGGAGCUCGGCUGCUUCUUGGGCGGAGGAGGGAGCUCGGUCCAUCUGUUCGCCCAGCCGCCCAGAUCCAUGGGGGACAUGUCCACGAUUCAACGCCCGCCUGACGUUAUCACCAAGGACCUUCUAGGUAAAAAGAAUCAGGCGGUGCAACUAUCAAUUAGCUAUGCGAUGUUCUAGCUUAUAAGAAAAUCAACUUUGACUGCAUGUCUUAUGGCAGGUAAGAGUAUUCCAGAAACAUGUAUGUCAAAAUGAAACAAAUAAAGAACCAUUAUUGUGGUUGCACACAAAAAAUAUAACACAGGUAUGAACGCGAUCAACAUUAAGGUGGAGGAAGGGGCUUUACUUUCAUACCUCGGAGUAGUCUUUGAGAGGCGGAUGACCCGGAGAUAGGAAGCAUAGACUGCAAGAAGCACAAUCAGAUCUAUGCUUUGAGUUACCCAUACUGCUGGGUAGAGGAGGAACCGGAGCGAACAUCACCUCGAAAAAAAUGACAAGAAUAAUUUAUUGAGAACUCCAUGUAGUCAGGAGUAAGACGUUUCUGCCUCUAAAUCCCAGUAACAUACCGACAAACCAUUCAUAAAUUUUAAGUAGCACCAUGCAGAUUAUCUGGAAAGAAAAUACAAACAAACACAAGAAAAUUCUCAACCUCCCCCAUCCAUCAAUAAAGUGAGACCAACAAUCACGUAGGUUAGGAGUAGCAUGCUCGAGCCAUGUAGCAAGUGAACCUGGGACUAAUUCAUCUAUAAAAAUAUGCAAACAGGUCGAGAAUACAAAACCAGUUAAAUAAAGGUCAAGAUUACUGCUAGUGUUGUGAACAAGUUCAGUCAUUUUCCCAUUCUCAACCUCAGGGCUCACGCGGUAUGAAUUUCCAUUGGAUAAAAAAGCUAAUACUAUGGUUUUUUUAGGUUUCCAUCUCUAUCUUUCCAAUACAAAGGCGAAAAAGAGAAAUCCUCAUGGUCGAUAGCUUCUUCAGAAGAUACUCUUUCUAGAGAGAUGAUUAGAUCAUAAGUAAAUAAGUAAACUUGAUAAAAGCACAACUCCUAGCAUACAACUCAACUUUAUCCGUAGUAUCUGACUGCAUGUGCAUUGAGUUCUACAUGAGAGGCCAUCAUCUGAAUUCUCAACCUCAUGGUCGGUCUAGUGAUUUCCAAUGUUUGGAAAGGCUGUAAGAGGGAGAAUAUUUCUUACAUGUGUAUGUCAGAUUCAUGAAUGCAACGCCGAUGCUUCCGACAUCCUGGACAUCUGGAUGUCCAGUAUUACAGUGGAAUGAGUUGAGUUUGCACCUGUAAAACUGAAAACUGAUUUCUAACUUCCUCUCCUUCUUCAGCAGGGUGAUCUGCAUUGGUUUUAGAAAGCAAUCUAUAUAGCCCCAGUCUUCCAGCCUAUGGCUGAGCUUUAUCUUCUGCUGGUAUGCGGCGACAUCAAGUAGAGUCAUCCUUGAUAAAUGGAUCUGUUUAAGAAUGUUUGUUGUCAGGUAUGGAUUUUAAUCAUAUAGUAAAAAAGGCAAUAGGAGAGACACAUGAAACAUAAUUUGGCCCUAAAGCAUAUGCUAAACAAUGGGGUGUUACUCAUAAGCAACCUUGGUUUGGUAUAUGUGAGACAAGUUGUUUCAUAUAGUUCUAAGCAUUUUUCUAUAAACUACUGUAAUUAAGCUAGUGUAAUUUAUAAAGAUGAUUGUCAUAGAAUAUAAAUACACUCUCUGUACACUAAUA